AGUGAGCGGCAGAGCUCAGAUUUGAAUCGUGCUUUGCGGCACGAGUUGUAGAUUGCAGGUUGGAGUCUGUGUGGAAGGCGGUGUCCAAGUCCCUUGGAACAGGGCGCCCAGGAGGGUGAGAGCCCCGUGGGAUGCCGGCGGAAGCAGUGAGGCCCUUCUGACGAGUCGAGUUGUUUGG
rnacentral:rRNA from 1 species